CUGGGGGCCGGGAGGGGGGAGGGGGGCAUGAAACAAUACUAGUCACCGUGGGAUAUAUUCUAAUAUUCCAUGGCUAGUGGUUUGUUAUGGGACUAUCUCAGUUUUAUGAGAACCUGCACAUAGCACAUAAAGUUGAUCAUGGGGCUCUGGUCCGAAGAUAUAAAGCCCAUAGUCUACCUCUACCCAUGGAAUACCAUCGACUUAUUCUGUGGACACAGGGAUUUCAAAGGAACAGAUGACCCAGAGAAGAAUGACAGCACUGAGUAAGAAGGAGUGCCAGAUUCCAAACUGAAUGGGGAGGUGGCGAAGGCCGCGCUGGCGAACGAAGACUGCCCCCACAUAGACCAGGCCCUCACUCCCGAUGAGGGCCUGCCCUUUACGCGCUCGGGCACCCGCGAGAGAUACGGACCCUGCUUCCUCUUAUCAACCGGGGAGUACGCGUGCCCACCUGGUGGAGGAAUGAGAAAGGGUAUGUAGAGGAAGCUGGAGCACCGUGCAUCGUCCGGGCCGCCUCGCGCUCCUGCA
rnacentral:sRNA from 1 species